GUGAGGAAUUUUCCGCAAUGGGCGAAAGCCUGACGGAGCAAUGCCGCGUGAAGGAUGAAGGCCUAUGGGUUGUAAACUUCUUUUCUCAGAGAAGAAUAUUGACGGUAUCUGAGGAAUAAGCAUCGGCUAACUCUGUGCCAGCAGCCGCGGUAAGACAGAGGAUGCAAGCGUUAUCCGGAAUGAUUGGGCGUAAAGCGUCUGUAGGUGGCUUCAAAAGUCUCCUGUCAAAGAUCAGGGCUUAACCCUGGGCCGGCAGGAGAAACUCUGAGGCUAGAGUUUGGUAGGGGCAGAGGGAAUUCCCGGUGGAGCGGUGAAAUGCGUAGAGAUCGGGAGGAACACCAAAGGCGAAAGCACUCUGCUGGGCCACAACUGACACUGAGAGACGAAAGCGAGGGGAGCAAAAGGGAUUAGAUACCCGGGUAGUCC
rnacentral:rRNA from 1 species